GAUGAAGAACGUAGUGAAAUGCGAUAAGUAGUGUGAAUUGCAGAAUUCAGUGAAUCAUCGAAUCUUUGAACGCACAUUGCGCCCUUUGGUAUUUCUUAGGGCAUGCCUGUUCGAGCGUCAUUUAAACCUUCAAGCUCAGCUUGGUGUUGGGUGACUGUCCGCUUCACCGCGGACUCGCCUCAAAAUUAUUGGCGGCCGGUACAUUGGCUUCGAGCGCAGCAGAAACGCGAACUCGGGCCCGUCGUAUUGGCUCCCAGAAGCUAUCUUCACAAUUUUGACCUCGGAUCAGGUAGGGAUACCCGCUGAACUUAAGCAUAUCAAUAAGCGGAGGA
rnacentral:misc_RNA from 1 species